rnacentral:tRNA from 1 species
UCCCUGGUGGGCCAGUGGCUAAGACUCUGCACUCCCAGUGCAGGGGGCCUGGGUUCUAUCCCUGGUCAGGGAA